ACGGAAGGCAGCAGUGGGGAAUAUUGCACAAUGGGCGAAAGCCUGAUGCAGCGACGCCGCGUGAGUGAAGAAGUAUUUCGGUAUGUAAAGCUCUAUCAGCAGGGAAGAAAAUGACGGUACCUGACUAAGAAGCCCCGGCUAACUACGUGCCAGCAGCCGCGGUAAUACGUAGGGGGCAAGCGUUAUCCGGAUUUACUGGGUGUAAAGGGAGUGUAGGUGGCAAGACAAGUCAGAAGUGAAAAUCCGGGGCUCAACCCCGGAACUGCUUUUGAAACUGUCUAGCUAGAGUGCAGGAGAGGUAAGUGGAAUUCCUAGUGUAGCGGUGAAAUGCGUAGAUAUUAGGAGGAACACCAGUGGCGAAGGCGGCUUACUGGACUGUAACUGACACUGAGGCUCGAAAGCGUGGGGAGCAAACAGGAUUAGAUACCCUGGUA
rnacentral:rRNA from 1 species